rnacentral:rRNA from 1 species
AACGAACGCUGGCGGCAUGCCUAACACAUGCAAGUCGAACGAGACCUUCGGGUCUAGUGGCGCACGGGUGCGUAACGCGUGGGAACCUGCCCUUAGGUUCGGAAUAACUCCCCGAAAGGGGUGCUAAUGCCGGAUAAUGUCUUCGGACCAAAGAUUUAUCGCCUUUGGAUGGGCCCGCGUUGGAUUAGCUAGUUGGUAGGGUAAAAGCCUACCAAGGCGACGAUCCAUAGCUGGUCUGAGAGGAUGAUCAGCCACACUGGGACUGAGACACGGCCCAGACUCCUACGGGAGGCAGCAGUGGGGAAUAUUGGACAAAGGGCGAAAGCCUGAUCCAGCAAUGCCGCGUGAGUGAUGAAGGCCUUAGGGUUGUAAAGCUCUUUUACCCGGGAUGAUAAUGACAGUACCGGGAGAAUAAGCUCCGGCUAACUCCGUG